AAACGUAGGAGGCGAGCGUUAUCCGGAUUUACUGGGCGUAAAGCGCGUGCAGGUGGUUUGGUAAGUCGGACGUGAAAGCUCCUGGCUCAACUGGGAGAAGCCGUACGAAACUACCAGACUAGAGGGCAGUAGAGGGAGGUGGAAUUCCGGGUGUAGCGGUGAAAUGCGUAGAUAUCCGGAGGAACACCAGUGGCGAAAGCGGCCUCCUGGGCUGUCCCUGACACUGAGACGCGAAAGCUAGGGUAGCAAACGGGAUUAGAAACCCCGGUAGUCCUAGCUGUAAACGAUGCAGACUUGGUGUUGGCAGUUUAAAUACUGUCGGUGCCGAAGCUAACGCGAUAAGUCUGCCGCCUGGGGACUACGGCCGCAAGGCUAAA
rnacentral:rRNA from 1 species